rnacentral:rRNA from 1 species
UACGAAGGUCCCAAGCGUUAUCCGGAUUUAUUGGGUUUAAAGGGUGCGUAGGCGGGUUAUUAAGUCAGUGGUGAAAGCCUUCAGCUUAACUGAAGAAUUGCCAUUGAUACUGAUGAUCUUGAGUAUGAUUGAGGUGGGCGGAAUGUGUCAUGUAGCGGUGAAAUGCUUAGAUAUGACACAGAACACCGAUUGCGAAGGCAGCUCACUAAGCCAUAACUGACGCUGAUGCACGAAAGCGUGGGGGAGCAAACAGGA